UACGGAGGGGGUUAGCGUUGUUCGGAAUGACUGGGCGUAAAGCGCGCGUAGGCGGAUCAGGAAGUUGGGGGUGAAAUCCCGGGGCUCAACCCCGGAAUGGCCUUCAAAACUCCUGGUCUUGAGUUCGAGAGAGGUGAGUGGAAUUCCGAGUGUAGAGGUGAAAUUCGUAGGUAUUCGGAGGAACACCAGUGGCGAAGGCGGCUCACUGGCUCGACACUGACGCUGAGGUGCGAAAGCGUGGGGAGCAAACAGG
rnacentral:rRNA from 1 species